UCUCAUUUGGCUCUUGUCUCCCUUACAGAAGCAGGUUCUCUCCCUCAAAACACUCUAAUCUCCAGCAAAGUGCUCUGCUAGGGCACAACUUCCGUUCGUCUUCGAGCUACCAAAACCCUUCCUUUUCCCAGGUUCCAGCUCUUUCCUAACUCCAGGAGCUGUGGUGCCUUAGUUCGAAUCUGUUGUUUUGGUUGUUCUCCUGAACAGAUGGGAAUACUUUUGGAGGUAGGCCUGAGGGUGGUAGCAGUGCAGCCUAGUGGGCCCGUUGCUAUGAUUUCCGAAGAAGUUCUAUGGCCCUAGUGCCUUGUAAUUCCAUGCUCCUAGAGCAUUUCUUUUGCACAACUGUUCAACUUUAGAAUUGUGUUGUUUAUGGCAUGGUUGUAUGCCCAAGUUUUCCUCUAGGUACUCCUAUGGAUGACUGUUAAAGUACAUUCCUUAACUCUGGUUUCUUUUGUCAGCGUUGCUCUUAAAUAUUAUAACUAUGCGACGUUUUGUUUAGUA